rnacentral:rRNA from 1 species
GACAGAGGGUGCAAACGUUGUUCGGAAUUACUGGGCGUAAAGCGCGUGUAGGCUGCUCGGGAAGUCGGGUGUGAAAGCCCUGGGCUCAACCUAGGAAGUGCACUCGAAACUUCCGAGCUGGAGUGCUGGAGAGGAAGGCGGAAUUCUCGGUGUAGAGGUGAAAUUCGUAGAUAUCGAGAGGAACACCGGUGGCGAAGGCGGCCUUCUGGACAGCCACUGACGCUGAGACGCGAAAGCGUGGGGAGCAAACAGG